rnacentral:lncRNA from 1 species
UCUCGUGUAUAAAUAGAUUGUAAUUUUUAUUAUGAAAUACAACAAAUAUUAUAUUUUUACAUGGUAUCAAAGCCAGGUUUGUAGAGAUUUAUUUUUCUCUCUCUCAUCAAGUCUUAACAUUUGGAGACUUAGGACUCUGUUCAUUUGGGUUAGUCGUAAAGAGUAGUAUUUGGAGACCUAGGACUCUGUUCAUUUGGGUUACUCAUAAACGGUAAUAUUCGGAGACUUAGGGCUCUGUUCAUUUGGGUUACUCAUUAAGGGUAACAUUUGGAGACUUAGGGUUUUGUUCAUUUGGGUUACUCAUAAAAGGGUAACAUUUGGAGACCUAGGACUCUGUUCAUUUGGGUUACUCAUAAAGGGUAACAUUUGGAGACUUAGGGCUCUAUUUAUUUGGGUUACUCAUAAAGGGUAACAUUUGAAGACUUAGGGCUCUGUUUAUUUGUAUUAUCCAUAAAGGGUAACAUUUGGAGACUUAGGGCUCCGUUCACAAGGCAUUGUUCACGGGAAUUAUUCAUCAGGUAUUGUUCACGAGUACUGUUCAUCGGGUACUGUUUACGGUACUGUUUAUGAGUCACGAGUACUGUUCAUCGAGUAAUGUUAGGUGAUUAGUCUUAUUAAUCAUUCUGAAUUUAUUAAGAAUUAAUGGAGUAUUUGGAAUUUCUAUAUUCUGGCAAAGGGAAUAUUUAUUGUAUUUAUGAUAUGUGUAAGGCGUUUUACCAAGCUGAGAAAAUGUGGUCUCCUGUUCUAGCGCUGAAUCUGAAUGUCGAGUCAUGGCAAAAACCAUUUGUGAAGUUUUGUGGGUACGUCAAUUAUUGGAAGAAAUUGGGUUCACAAAUUCGGUGUCUGCUAAGUUGUAUGGGACGAGUUGAUUAUAUAUGUAACAAGUUGGGCAUGAUUAACAUUUAUACUCCAACUUGAGGGGAGUGUUAUAGAUUAUAGGAAGUAAAUAUAUUAAUAUAGGAAGUAAAUAUUGAUAGAUGGGUUAGUUGCUUAAUCUUAGGGACUGUAUAAUCAUAGACUUGAUUUUCCUUCCUGUUUAGAUACCGUCUCUCGUGUAUAAAUAGAUUGUAAUCUUUAUUAUGAAAUACAACAACAAAUAUUAUAUUUCUACACGGUAGAUACAGAAAAGAAGUCUCAAACCUACGACAAUCGAAAAUAUACUGCUAUUGUUCUCUUUACCAUUCCAUAUUCAAUGAUGGAAGUUAUACUGUCGUGGAAUUUAUUGAAACCUUCUAUUGACACUAGAUAAAAAAAGAAUUAAAAAUAAAUCCUUAUGGACAAAAAGAAAGAAAGUUCAAUACUUCAAUUCUAAUUAAAAAUGUUUUUUUGGAAUGAAUCAUGAAAUCAAUGCCAUAAUCAUAGGUUUAAGUUGAAUAUAAUCAAAAUCUAAAUAGAGUUCAGAUGCAUGUGUCUGACACGCCUGUCAACUGCGACAAAUAAAUAAAUAAACUUGAGAUUCACACUUCCCCAUAUUUCAAACUAUCAACUGUGAAUCUUUAAAAUACAAAUGUUCGCAGCCAGUGUGAAAAGGUGAUAUAACACAUUUAAAGAGCUCCAUGCUAAUUUAGAACAGGUGGUUCAAGAGUAAUUGGAGCAGGCUCAAAGACAGUAGUUCAAAAGAGCAGCCUGUAGAUUCUAGUUCCUUUAAGAUUUCAUAUUGCAUUUACUUUUUUUCCUGUAACAACAAAUGCUUAUUAUUUAAUUUUCCUAUUUCCUCUUGGAUUAAGUUUUUAUAGCCCAAUCAAAUUUCCCUUAGGAUUUACAUUAUUUCUUAUUUAUAUUGGAUUUAGACCAAGCUGUUUUGGGACUUCUAUUUGGACCAGCAGACCGCCCUAUAAGUAAAUGAUGCUUGGACAUAAUUUGGUAGCUAAUACAUCAGUUUUUGAUGUCUCAAGUUGCAUUCAAAAUUUCUCAAACUCACGCAUUUUUUCCAGGAUUUAGUCAAUUGCUAAACCUGUAUUUUUUCUAUGCAAACCCACUGCACAAUAUAUAU